AGAGUUUGAUCCUGGCUCAGAACGAACGCUGGCGGCGCGCCUAACACAUGCAAGUCGAACGCGAAAGUGUAGCAAUACAUGAGUAAAGUGGCGCACGGGUGAGUAACGCGUAGGUGAUCUACCUCUGCGAUCGGGAUAACCAGCCGAAAGGUUGGCUAAUACCGGAUAGAGCGCACGAACUGUAAGGGUUUGUGCGGGAA
rnacentral:rRNA from 1 species